CAGUUAUGCACAAGCACCAUUUAGCAGCAGCAUAGGUAUAUAGCAUUCAUUUAGCGGCAGAAAAAUCCAGUUCAUUUUACUCGCUGCUCUCUUUGGCAUUUACAGUCUUGGACUCUCUGGCUGCUCCUCCUCUGGCCAAUGGUGAAGCGCCCGACGAGGCCAGCAGCAAGGCAAUGCGGCAGGAUCGUGCUCCCGUGAUCGUCUGAGGCGCCUGCUCUGCUGCUCAAGGGCGUCCGUGGAAUGCCCAGUCCUGACUAUUGAAGGAGCUACAUGUAGAAGAAGAAAACACUUGUAGACCAGUGAUUCCCAUACUUGUAGAGCUUGUAUCAACUAAGCUUGUAUUACGUCUAACUUGUAGAACUUGUAAAGUACUGUAUAUGUAACAACUUGUAGUACUUGUCAUUUGUAGAACUUGUACUGAAUCUGGCUAUUGUUAUUUGAAGUAUCAUGUGUGUUUUUUGCUUGCCAA